GGGAAACUCCCCGGCCCCGCUGUAGAGGGACCUUCAGCGACCGGGCCGGAAUUAAUAAGGUCCCCA
rfam:Sus scrofa isolate TJ Tabasco breed Duroc chromosome 9, whole genome shotgun sequence.